rnacentral:rRNA from 1 species
CGAACGGGUGAGUAACACGUGGAUAAUCUGCCCUUGAGUUCGGGAUAAUUCCCCGAAAGGGGUUGUAAUACCGGGUAACAUCUCCUGGUGGCAUCACCGGGAGAUCAAAGGCGGGGUAACCCGCCGCUUGAGGACGAGUCCGCGUUCCAUUAGCUUGUUGGUGAGGUAACAGCUCACCAAGGCUGCGAUGGAUAGCCGGCCUGAGAGGGCGAUCGGCCACACUGGGACUGAGAUACGGCCCAG